GAUGAACGCUGGCGGCGUGCCUAAUACAUGCAAGUCGAGCGAACGGACGAGAAGCUUGCUUCUCUGAUGUUAGCGGCGGACGGGUGAGUAACACGUGGAUAACCUACCUAUAAGACUGGGAUAACUUCGGGAAACCGGAGCUAAUACCGGAUAAUAUUUUGAACCGCAUGGUUCAAAAGUGAAAGACGGUCUUGCUGUCACUUAUAGAUGGAUCCGCGCUGCAUUAGCUAGUUGGUAAGGUAACGGCUUACCAAGGCAACGAUGCAUAGCCGACCUGAGAGGGUGAUCGGCCACACUGGAACUGAGACACGGUCCAGACUCCUACGGGAGGCAGCAGUAGGGAAUCGUCCGCAAUGGGCGAAAGCCUGACGGAGCAACGCCGCGUGAGUUAUGAAGGUCUUCGGAUCGUAAAACUCUGUUAUUAGGGAAGAACAUAUGUGUAAGUAACUGUGCACAUCUUGACGGUACCUAAUCAGAAAGCCACGGCUAACUACGUG
rnacentral:rRNA from 1 species